rnacentral:rRNA from 1 species
GACGAACGCUGGCGGCGUGCCUAAUACAUGCAAGUCGAACGGAAAGGCCCUGCUCUUGCGGGGUGCUCGUGUGGCGAACGGGUGAGUAACACGUGAGUAACCUGCCCUUGACUUUGGGAUAAAUUCAGGAAACUGGGGCUCAUACCGGGUAGGAGCUCUUGCAGCAUGGUGGGGGUUGGAAAGUUUCGGCGGUUGGGGAUGGUCUAGCGGCUUAUCAGCUUGUUGGUGGGGUAGUGGCUUACGAAGGCUGUGACGGGUAGCCGGCAUGAGAGGGUGGCCGGGGACAUGGGGACUAAGGGAGGGCCCAGACGCCAACGGGAGGCAGCAGUGGGGAGUAUUACGCAGUGGGCGGAAGCGUGAGGUAGCGACGUCGCGUGCGGAAUAACGUCCUUCGAGGGAUGAACCGCUGUCGCCGUUAACAAGGCGUGAUUGACGGUAAUUAAUAAGAAAGCACCGGCUAACUACGUG